GCCAUGGGGAGGAUAUAUAAGAAGGGAGAGGAAAGCAGGAAGAAGAGAACUGGAGAAUUGCAGGAGGAAACUGAGGGGAAUUGCAGGAGGGAACUGAGGGGAAUUGAAGAAGAGAACUGAGGAGGAAUAGGGAAAGAGAACUGUAUGGAGGUGAAAGAGAAUAGAGAAACAUUGGCAAUAAAUGCUUGCUGUGUUUAACAACAUCUGGUGUCCUGGGUGCUCUAUGGGGAAAGAACACAGCUAAAGAGAGCUGUGUCGGAGACGUCAGAAGACCUGGUAUGGUAAGAGUUCAGUUGAGACACUCUUGAUGAAAAUGGAUGCAAGCAGUGGGUGCUGACCAGAAGAAUCUGCGUCAUCAGGGAAGAUAAACAAGAUUGAAUGGAACAAGAAGAGGAGGCAGAAGAAGCCGCAAAGAAGAAGUUCCCAGAACCAGAAACAGAGAUGGAAAGGAGAACUGCAAUCUCUGCUGGGACUGUUAUCUCUUAUUGAGUCUCAACACAGGGGCGACAGCACAAAGAAAGUGGAAUAACUUUGUGGCACUAGCAUAACACCUGGCCGAUUAACAGGCACAAUGGACCUGGGGGAUGAUACCAAGACCACUGGUGGUGCAGGUGGUGGGUUGAGGACAAAAGACUCCUGAAAUUGCAGUAGAAUGAUUGGGGGAUGAGUUAGUAUUACAAAGCUUGUAAUCAAUACCAUGCCAUUUUGCUUAUCAUCUUAUAUGUGUCACACCUUUGUAUGUCCCUAAUAAUACUUGGGUGAAUGUACAGGAUCACCUCCACGGAGCUUUGUUAACCACCAAUGUGUUUAAGGAAUUAUUGCUUGAUGAUGUGAUGCAUUUUCAUCUGUCUGGGUUGCCUUCCUGGUUUUACAGCACUUUGUUUAAUCUUUUUUUGUAGUGCUUAUGCGCUUGCUAUGUCUAUUGUUAUGCAUCAAUGUAUUGAUAAGAAGGAUUCUUGUGAGUGCCUUUGCACAAUGGCAUCUCUGUCCUCAGGUUGCUGUCCAUGCCAUAGAAUUGAUUAAGAUACUGUCUCACAUAGGAGUUGGGAAUCACAGACAGCAGACACGGGGUUUGGGUUAAGGACGCUCAGGAGUCCUGGUUAUGAUGGCGCUCCAUACGAGGAUGAGCCUUCCCUAUGCUUGUGUACUGUGAAUGGGGUUUCCCUUUCCUGUGAUGUGAGCGGUUCCCGCAAAACAAGAAAAGGGAUUUGUUAGGUACAUGGCAUGGAGGGGCCAGAGGGCUAGGAUAUGCUCAUUAAGUAAAGACAGAAAAGCAGCUCUAAGAAGGAGUUUACCCAGAAAUUGAUGAUUAACUCCUUUUACUUAUCAAGGCAAUCUAGUUGGGGAAUAACGCAAAUGGGGCCAAUAUAAAUAAUUGUAACCAUGCCAUGGGGAGGAUAUAUAAGAAGGCAGAGGAAAGCAGGAAGAAGGGAACUGGGGGAGGGAACUGGGAAAGAGAAUUGUAUGAAGGUGAAAGAGAAUAGAGAGACAAUGGCAAUAAAUGCUUGCUGUGUUUAACAACA